rnacentral:rRNA from 1 species
UACGAACUGUGCAAACGUUAUUCGGAAUCACUGGGCUUACAGGGUGCGUAGGCGGCCAGACAAGUAGGGUGUGAAAGCCCCCGGCUUAACCGGGGAAUGGCGCCCUAAACUGUAUGGCUGGAGUGAGAUAGGGGUGUGCGGAACUUCCGGUGGAGCGGUGAAAUGUGUUGAUAUCGGAAGGAACGCCGGUGGCGAAAGCGGCACACUGGAUCUCAACUGACGCUGAGGAGCGAAAGCUAGGGGAGCAAACGGG